rnacentral:rRNA from 1 species
UAGUCUACGCCGUAAACGAUGGAUACUAGCUGUUGGGCUUCGGUUCAGUGGCUAAGCGAAAGUGAUAAGUAUCCCACCUGGGGAGUACGUUCGCAAGAAUGAAACUCAAAGGAAUUGACGGGGGCCCGCACAAGCGGUGGAGCAUGUGGUUUAAUUCGAUGAUACGCGAGGAACCUUACCAGGGCUUAAAUGUAGAUUGACAGGUUUAGAGAUAGACUUUUCUUCGGACAAUUUACAAGGUGCUGCAUGGUUGUCGUCAGCUCGUGCCGUGAGGUGUCAGGUUAAGUUCCGCAACGAGCGCAACCCUUGUCUUUAGUUGCCAUCAUUCAGUUGGGCACUCUAAAGAGACUGCCGGUGACAAACCGGAGGAAGGUAAGGAUGACGUCAAGUCAGCAUGCCCCUUACGCCCUGGGCCACACACGUGCUACAAUGGUCGUGACAAAGGGUCGCUAAUCUGCAAAGACAUGCUAAUCUCAUAAACACGGCCUCAGUUCGGAUUGCAGG